UGGGGAAUAUUGGACAAUGGGGGAAACCCUGAUCCAGCGACGCCGCGUGAGUGAAGAAGUAUUUCGGUAUGUAAAGCUCUAUCAGCAGGGAAGAAAAUGACGGUACCUGACUAAGAAGCCCCGGCUAACUACGUGCCAGCAGCCGCGGUAAUACGUAGGGGGCAAGCGUUAUCCGGAUUUACUGGGUGUAAAGGGAGCGCAAACGGCGAAGCAAGUCUGAAGUGAAAUGCAUGGGCUCAACCCAUGAAUUGCUUUGGAAACUGUUUGGCUUGAGUGUCGGAGGGGUAAGCGGAAUUCCUAGUGUAGCGGUGAAAUGCGUAGAUAUUAGGAGGAACACCGGAGGCGAAGGCGGCUUACUGGACGACAACUGACGUUGAGGCUCGAAGGCGUGGGGAGCAAACAGGAUUAGAUACCCUGGUAGUCCACGCAGUAAACGAUGAAUACUUGGUGUCGGGGAGGUAAACUCUUCGGUGCCGCAAGCAAACGCAUUAAGUAUUCCACCUGGGGAGUACGUUCGCAAGAAUG
rnacentral:rRNA from 1 species